CUGCGCCCGGAAGAGGGCACUGCUCUGGCUCCGCCCCGGAAGAUAAGGCGACUCGGGGGUGCCGCAUUUCCUCUUUUGGCCGCGCUCCGUAGCAGGUAGGUCUGUCUGAGGUGCUGAGGGCUUGGGACCAUCCGCCGCCAUCCUCCGCGUUGGGGCCCGCCGUGGUACCUGGGAGACUGUUCUGAGAAGGCGCAGGCGCGCGCGACCAGGGAUGAGAACACGGGAGGCUGGGAUGGGGCGGGACGCGGGGCCAGCGCCUGCUGACCUGAUUCCCCCCUAGACCAGCCGUCAUGGGCCGAGUGAUCCGUGGACAGAGAAAGGGUGCCGGCUCCGUGUUCCGCGCGCACGUGAAACACCGCAAGGGCGCCGCACGUUUGCGCGCAGUGGACUUCGCAGAGCGACACGGCUACAUCAAAGGCAUCGUGAAGGUGGGGGCGUCUGCCCGGUGGGUGGGGGAGACGGGGCGUCCGCCGAGACCCGCGCUCACCUCACCUCGGCACGCAGGACAUUAUCCACGACCCGGGCCGCGGCGCGCCCCUCGCCAAGGUCGUCUUCCGGGAUCCAUACCGGUUUAAAAAGCGGACGGAGCUGUUUAUCGCCGCCGAGGGCAUCCACACAGGCCAGUUCGUGUACUGCGGAAAGAAGGGUGAGCCCAGCGGCGGGAAGGAAAGUUGGGGCGGAGGGGAGGUGGGGGCUACCUCUGGAUCGCCCGCGCCAGAAGCCUCCCGCGAGGCCCGCCUGGAUACGGUAUUCCACGGGGUGUCUGGAAAGGUGGGAGCCCAGAUGUUGAAGGUGCUCUACGCUUUGGGCGUUUCCAAGAAGCCUGGCUUUGCAUUGUCUCUGGCUGUACUGACCCUGGUUCCGCUUCUCCUGGCAGCCCAGCUCAAUAUUGGCAAUGUUCUCCCUGUGGGAACCAUGCCUGAGGGUACGAUUGUGUGUUGCCUGGAGGAGAAGCCUGGGGACCGGGGCAAGCUGGCCCGAGCCUCCGGUAACUAUGCCACGGUCAUCUCUCACAAUCCUGAGACCAAGAAGACUCGUGUGAAGCUGCCCUCUGGCUCCAAAAAGGUCAUUUCCUCGGCCAACAGAGCUGUUGUCGGUGAGUGCCUGGCAGCGGUUGAAUGCAGAAGUGGGUGCUCAGGCUGUGAGCUGCCUAUGAACUGCCACCUGUUAGCCUUGGGCUUAAGUUUGAGUUUGAAAUGAUUGGAAUCUUCAUUGCUGUAAAGAGCAGGAUGGUGGUACCUACUUCCCUUCAGGUUUGGAGCAGAUUGAGAUUGAACCAGAUGGUUCUCGACCUUUGUGUGUGUGUAUGAAUCAGGCUUCCUGAUUUCUGAUAUUACAUCAUUUAGUUAAUUCACUUGUUUCUUCAGAGAAAACAGGAUCAUAUACGAGGAUUUCCUUAAAGGCAUCUACUAUUGAGAGGGAGAGAAAGGAUUUGGUUCCCAGGUUCUUUGUUUGGCAGAGCUCUGGUGCAGUGCACUUGGUCAGUUAGUUGCCUUGGGGGAAUUCAGAGGUUGGGUGACCUACCUUGUGUUUCAGAUACAGUGAAGUGGGGGUGCUCUCUUGGGAACUCGAAUUUGGCUCACUAGGGUGGAGGCUGGUGGGCUCAGUGUGGUGGCUGUAAAAGUAUGGUGGCUCUUGAGUGAUGCAUAUGACAGUACUGAGUGGUUUGCAUUGGGAAGGGUUCACUGUCAAGGACCCAGUGGUGAGGAGGUUCUCUGAGGAUUCUGAUCUCUCCAACAGGUGUGGUGGCUGGAGGUGGCCGAAUUGACAAACCUAUCUUGAAAGCUGGUCGUGCCUACCACAAGUAUAAGGCAAAGAGGAACUGCUGGCCUCGUGUACGGGGUGUGGCCAUGAAUGUAAGUAGCCCAGCAAUCAGUUUGUAGGGUAUUCAAGGUGCAUAACCAUGCAGGUGGGUUAGCAAAUCCCUUCUAGAGGUGUUUCCUAACUCCUGUGGCAGGGGAAUGAAUCUUCAGUGGGGGAAGCACUGAGUGGUAGGUUGUAGCCACAGCAUUCUUGAUCUUGCCCCAACCCUUCUGCAGUGGGGUCACCACUACUCUUACACCAUUUCCCUCUGCUUGCAGCCUGUGGAACAUCCCUUCGGAGGAGGUAACCACCAGCAUAUUGGCAAACCCUCCACCAUCCGCCGAGAUGCUCCUGCUGGCCGCAAAGUGGGUCUCAUUGCUGCCCGCCGGACUGGGCGACUCCGUGGAACCAAGACCGUGCAGGAAAAAGAGAACUAGGCCUGAUGGGCUCAAUAAAGUUUGUCCUUUUGCUGUUG
rnacentral:lncRNA from 1 species